UGGAUACUCAUCUAUUCACAUAUGAAAUGAAUUUUAAGUGACCAUUUCUUCUGAUCUUCUUGUAUGUUAUGUCUAUAGAUACUCUCUUUUCAAAAUGUUAGUAAUGCAGCUUCUUCAUUUUCUGCUUUUGAGGACUUCAAAGUAAUUAAAAGUAUUAAAUUUUCUAUUUAUGAAAUAAAUGCAGAAGAGGUAUAAGGUCAUGGCAAGCAAAGCAGGAAAAUCUGUAGUGAAAGCGAUUGGGGCGUAUCAGUACCCAUGGCAGGAAAAGUUGGCUAAGUACAGAGAUGAGCUCUCAAAAGGAGUUUGGGAACAUUGGCACUUAGGGGCAUGGAAGCCAUCUAUGGGAUGGGUUCAAACACCCUUUUGGCGUCAACUGGGACUUGGGCUUUGCUGCUUAUGCCGUCCCAUCUGUUCGUCACUGCUUUCAUUUCCUCCAUUUAGCCCUUGACAGAAUAGCUCUGAUGGCAAACGAUCCAUUUUGUUUACAACCAAAAGAAAGAUAAGGGAACAACUAUGAACUGUUCCAAGGCAGCAUUUGUAAAUCCAAUAUUUCUGCAGGUUAUCUUUAAGCUUAGAUUUGUAUAUCCAUAUGCAUAGAGGCUUGUGUAAAUUGAGUUAACGGGAUUGAUCCUUUGAAUCAUAUACUUGCACCACUA